UAAUAAACCAGAUGCUCCGCAGGGCGCAGCUUUAUACGACCGCAGAGGUUGAACCCUGAACGGUUGGGGCAAGUAUGGACACAACAUUCAAGCUGGAUUCAGCUCUAAAUUUGGAUUGUGAUUAAAUAGUUGACACAGCAUAGGUUUCUGACACAGAAUGAAUGUGGUCUAAUGAACUUAAAAAAAAUUUUUUUGCCUUUGAGCAAUUCACUAUGCUGUUGAAUAUUAAUCCUCUCAAAAAAUGUUUGAAGAAAUUUUCUUUUUAUUUAUGAAAUC
rnacentral:lncRNA from 1 species